GAUGAACGCUCGCGGCAGGCCUAAUACAUGCAAGUCGGACGGGAUUCAGGAGCUUGCUUCUGAUGAGAGUGGCGCACGGGUGCGUGACACGUAUGUAACCUACCUUUAUCAGGGGGAUAGCCUCUCGAAAGAGAGAUUAAGCCCGCAUAAAAUCACAGCACAGCAUUGUGUAAUGAUCAAAUAUUUAUAGGAUAAAGAUGGGCAUGCGGAACAUUAGCUAGAUGGCGGGGUAACGGCCCACCAUGGCGACGAUGUUUAGGGGAUCUGAGAGGAUGGCCCCCCACACUGGUACUGAGACACGGACCAGACUCCUACGGGAGGCAGCAGUAAGGAAUAUUGGUCAAUGGGCGGAAGCCUGAACCAGCCAUGCCGCGUGCAGGAAGACGGCCCUACGGGUUGUAAACUGCUUUUAUACGGGAAUAAACCCAGAUACGUGUAUCUGGCUGAAUGUACUGUAAGAAUAAGGAUCGGCUAACUCCGUG
rnacentral:rRNA from 1 species